GCACCCAUAGCACAACUGGAUAAUGCGCCGCCCUCCGAAGGCGGAGAUUACAGGUUCGAGUCCUGUUGGGUGCGCCA
rnacentral:tRNA from 2 species